rnacentral:rRNA from 1 species
UGGGGAAUAUUGGACAAUGGGCGCAAGCCUGAUCCAGCCAUGCCGCGUGAGUGAUGAAGGCCCUAGGGUUGUAAAGCUCUUUCACCGGUGAAGAUAAUGACGGUAACCGGAGAAGAAGCCCCGGCUAACUUCGUGCCAGCAGCCGCGGUAAUACGAAGGGGGCUAGCGUUGUGCGGAUUUACUGGGCGUAAAGCGCACGUAGGCGGACUUUUAAGUCAGGGGUGAAAUCCCGGGGCUCAACCCCGGAACUGCCUUUGAUACUGGAAGUCUUGAGUAUGGUAGAGGUGAGUGGAAUUCCGAGUGUAUAGGUGAAAUUCGUAGAUAUUCGGAGGAACACCAGUGGCGAAGGCGGCUCACUGGACCAUUACUGACGCUGAGGUGCGAAAGCGUGGGGAGCAAACAGG